AUGAUUUACCACCUUAACAGAUUAAAGAAGAAAAAUCAUAUGGCCAUUUCAAUAUAUUCAGAAAAAACCUUUGAUAAAACUGAAAAUCUUUUUUUUGUUUGUUUGUUUGAGAUGGAGUCUCGCUCUGUCGCCCAGGCUGGAGCGCAGUGGCCGGAUCUCAGCUCACUACAAGCUCGGCCUCCUGGGUUCACGCCAUUCUCCUGCCUCAGCCUCCCGGGUUCACGCCAUUCUCCUGCCUCAGCCUCCCGAGUAGCUGGGACUACAGGCGCCCGCCACUGCAAGCUCCGCCUCCCGGGUUCCCGCCAUUCUCCUGCCUCAGCCUCCCGAGUAGCUGGGACCACAGGCGCCGCCACCUCGCCCGGCUAAUUUUUUGUGUUUUUAGUAGAGACGGGGUUUCGCCGUGUUAGCCAGGAUGGUCUCGAUCUCCUGACCUUGUGAUCCGCCCGUCUCAGCCUCCCAAAGUGCUGGGAUUACAGGCUUGAGCCACCGCGCCCGGCCAGAACAUUCUUGAAGGAAUAAAAAAGGAAAUAAGUCUAAUCCAUUUGCAUUUCUGGUGGCAUCCAAUCUAAAUAAAGAUGUAUUUGAGCCAACCAGCUGAAGUCCCAUCCGUGAACACUUUUAUGCAGGGCUGAUAAUCAAUCAGAACAGCUGUAUCAGUUGUUCAUAGCUGGUGUCAUAGCCCCAUUUUGCCUGUAUAUAACUGUUUUUUUGGUUUAUUCAUUAUCAACUCACACUCAAAAAUGGUUUGAAUCUGUGUCCCCACAGAAAUCUCAUGUUCAAUUGUAAUCCUCAAGGUUCGAGGUGGGGCCUGGUGGGAACUGAAUUGGAUCAUGGGGGAAGAUUUCUCAUCAAUGAUUAGUACCAUCUCCUUGGUACUGUCCUUGCAACAGUGAGUUCUAACAAGAGAUCUGGUUGUUUAAAAGUUUGUGUCACCUCCCCACUCUCUCUCUUGCUCCUGCUCUGGCCAUGUGACUUGCCCAUUCCCCCUUUUUUGCCUUUCAUCCUGAUUGUAAGUUUCCUGAGGCCUCUGCAGAAACCAAACUGAUGUCAGUAACAUGCUUCCUGUACAGCCUGCAGAAAUGUGAAACUAUUAAACCUCCUUUCUUUAUAAAUUAGCCCAUAACAGUUAUUUGUAGCAAGGCAACAAUGGACUGAUACACUCAUUUUCUUGUGUCUUCUCCUUCCUGACUGACUGGUCAUCCCUCAGCUUUCAAAGUUUGGCUCCAUUUCCUGGACCUAUGUGUAAACAAUUUUUCCAUCUCCACCCCCAUCCUUUGGACCGCCCAUAUGAAAUUUAUUAUUUAUUGGAUAAUACAUUCAAGGCAUAAUUCAGUACCAAAGGCAGCUGCUAGAAAUUUGUUGCCUUUAGUAAUAAAAGAAAGUUAGUGGAAGAGUUAGGCUUGGAGCUGGCUCCUGAAGAAUGGAUAAUUCAUGGAUAGGAGUGGAGGAAGAAGAAAGAUUAUUCCAAGUGACUAAACAAUAUGAACAAAAGCUCUAAGAUCAGAAUGAGCUGGUCACUGGUCAAGUAGAUCAGAGAAUGUGUCUAAUGAAAGUAGUUUUCACAGAGAAAGACUAUAUUAUAGAAAUACACAGAGACAAAGGGGUUUAGACUUAAUUCAGGAGUCACUGAAAGCUCUUAUUCUAGGGAUAUUCAAAUGUCAUUUGGUCAUGAGAACAUGAAUUAAAAAACAAUAUAUCCUCACCUCAACUUCUAGGGAAUACCAUGUAAAUCAAGAUUAUACCCAGGUAAAUACACACACACACAAACAUACAAAAGCCUGGGUCACAAAUAAAAACCUGCUUAGCCCAACAGGUCUUUUCUUGACUUAUGUAAGUUGCUUAGGAAUACAUUAUCCCUGAGAGAGUAUUAUCCCCUAGGAGGAAUUUAAACUUGGGAAAGUUUGAGCUAUCCUUUGUAUUGCAUCAGCCAAUUUUAUAAGCUCUUAAAGUCAGUGCAACUUCAGUGCCAGAAAUUCAGAUAUUUGGAAAAUUAUAUUUAGGGCCCAGCAAUUCCUAGACUACUUCUCAGAUGCAUUCAAAUUAAAGAUCAAUUGAAAACCACAGUCAUGCAUUCCAAAUUUCAGUGACCUAAUGGGCCAUGCAUAAAGCAAUAUGUCUUUAUUUUUACAGUGGUAUAAAAGAAAUAGACAUUUUGAAAUCCUUUCAUUUUCUUCUUUUUGAACUCUUUCUCUAGAAUUGGACAUUUGUAAAUCCCACAAUUGCCAGGACAUCUUUUCUUCAAAUAAAUGGAAGAAAUAUUGGGAUUUAACAGUUUUUUGCAUGUGUCAGCACUUCCUGGUUUUUUUUAUUACACUCAGGGAGAUGUCAAGUUUAGGCAACAUAUGAGAAUGUUACUCAAAAAAAAUCAUUGAGCGCAGAAUUUUAAAAAACGCUCACCUUAUAUGAAUUUGGAUACUCACAGAGACCCCAUAUAAGAGGGCAAUGGUUAGAAUGAAAGGUCAAGAUGGAAACAAUAAAAUGUACUGUAUUUUCAUUGAAUAUAAAAUUCUAAAAUUCUGAAUAAAGAGUCCCCCUUAAUCUAUUUUAGUCAAAAUAAACUAGAUUAUCCUGUGCUAACAAUUCCAAAAUCUCAAAUGUUUAACCAAACAAAAAUUAAUGUGCUGCUAAUGGAAAGUCUACUGCAGGCAUGUGUGCCUUUUCAGGGCAUCUCCUCAUGGUCAGCUUCAAAGUUUUAGUCCUAUCAUCACAGCUAAAGCCCCUCCUCAACUGCCAUGGUAAUAGAAGCAGCAGCUAGAGGGGUGUGUGAGGGCUUUUCAGGUCUUUAACCCGGAAGUGACAUACUUCCUUUCUAUCCACAUUCCAGUAGCCAGAAAUAGUCAUAAACUCUGCCCAACUUCAAGGAGGCCGGGAAAUACAGGGCACAAACAUUAUCCAAAUAAGCAAGAGGUAUGUAGACAGCCAAAGAAGAAGAGGAAAUAAAGGAAAAAUGGGGGGAGAUGAAAAGUAUAGAUGGAGGAGGAGGAAAAGAAACGAAUGUAAUUCAACCACAGAUUUGGAAACAAGAAUCUCUAAAUUUUGAAUUCUAAUCUCAACCCAGGAUUGUACAAGGAUUCUUAGCCAAGUAAAGAGAAUUUCUUGAGAUAGAUAUGAAAAAGCAGCUUGGAAAAAUAACUAUUCUAGAGAAAAAAGUUCUCUAAAAUGAGGAAUUUAAAAAAUAUAUAUAUAUGCGCCAGAAACAUAAGAAGUAUAAGCUAAAAGUCUCACAAAAAUACAGAAUAUUGUGUAUUUUGUGUAUAAAGGUAUGAAGACAUUUGGGAGUACCAAGUACAUUUCCACCUAUAGGCACCAAAAUAUUCAACUAAACAUUCAAAAGAACUUAUCUGCGUAAGAAACCACAGAUCUGACAUAAAUAUUCUGGUGGAGAAGGAGCCAGGAGCCAAUAUUAGGACUCACAUGUGAAAAUGUGAUAGUAACCAAGCCUUAUCAACAAUUUUGACAGCUCUAUAACUCAAAUUCUUAUGUGUAAAAUAGAACUAGUACCAGCAUCACCUACCUACAACAGGAAAAUGUUUUAAAAGGCUCACAGUGCUCUAUAAAAGCAGCACUAACCAGAAAACUGCCAUUUACCCAAGAUGGCAGUGGCACCUAGAGGUUCCUUCAAAGAGUACUUUUG
rnacentral:lncRNA from 1 species